CAAUAGCGUAUAUUAAAGUUGUUGCGGUUAAAAAGCUCGUAGUUGGAUUUCUGCUGAGGACGAUCGGUCCGCCCUCUGGGUGAGUAUCUGGCUCGGCCUUGGCAUCUUCUUGGAGAACGUUACUGCACUUGACUGUGUGGUGCGGUAUCCAGGACUUUUACUUUGAGGAAAUUAGAGUGUUUCAAGCAGGCGCACGCCUUGAAUACAUUAGCAUGGAAUAAUAAGAUAGGACCUUGGUUCUAUUUUGUUGGUUUCUAGAGCUGAGGUAAUGAUUAAUAGGGAUAGUCGGGGGCAUUCGUAUUUAACUGUCAGAGGUGAAAUUCUUGGAUUUGUUAAGGACGGACUACUGCGAAAGCAUUUGCCAAGGAUGUUUUCAUUGA
rnacentral:rRNA from 1 species